UGUGACAUGUUACCAUGUUCAACAGCUAAAUGAUGUGACUCUUUUCUCCUGAGUGAGCCCUACUCAUAAGCCUUGAACCCAGAUGAUUUAACUCUCCUAUCUGGGCUUCGCCUAUGGAGAACACUGUGACAUACCUCUGCACCCAUCAUCUAGGUGAUGUGACUCUCCUCUCCUGCCUGGUUCUGGCUCACAGAAGGGAAUGUAACAUGUCUCUGGAUCCAGCACCUAGGUGGGAUUGUGACAUACCUAGGCCUAGCUCACAGGUGUGAUGAUGACUGUCAUAUGUGGACCCAACCAACAGAAAAGAUUUUGACUCUCAUGGCUAGAAUUAGGGGAAUAGAUUCAGGGAAUACACCUGCAGAUUGGUAGCAUAGGUAUACUGCAUGGUGUUGAAGUUUGGACACUUUUAACUAUCCCAUUGCCCAAGCAGUGUACACUACACAUGGGUUUUUCUUCGAUAUAAAUUCUCUGAUGUUGAACAAAGUUUGAGCAAUUGCCUCAGGGUUUGCUCUAAUACAGAAUGAAUACAACAAGAUCUGUGUUACAAGUAAAGUUACCACAACUUCGUUUAUAUUUGUAAUGUUUGUCUUCAAAAUAAAUCCUCUUCAGCACUUUAAA
rnacentral:lncRNA from 1 species